GUGCUUGCUUCAGCAGCACAUAUACUAAAAUUGGAACGAUACUGAGAAGAUUAGCAUGGCCCUGGAAAAAUAAGUCAAUAAAUAAGAAUUGCUAGAGAAGCUG